rnacentral:rRNA from 1 species
AGCGAACGCUGGCGGCAGGCUUAACACAUGCAAGUCGAACGGGCACUUCGGUGCUAGUGGCAGACGGGUGAGUAACGCGUGGGAACGUGCCUUUCGGUUCGGAAUAAUCCAGGGAAACUUGGACUAAUACCGGAUACGCCCUUCGGGGGAAAGAUUUAUCGCCGAAAGAUCGGCCCGCGUCUGAUUAGCUAGUUGGUGAGGUAAAGGCUCACCAAGGCGGCGAUCAGUAGCUGGUCUGAGAGGAUGAUCAGCCACAUUGGGACUGAGACACGGCCCAAACUCCUACGGGAGGCAGCAGUGGGGAAUAUUGGGCAAUGGGCGCAAGCCUGAUCCAGCCAUGCCGCGUGAGUGAUGAAGGCCUUAGGGUUGUAAAGCUCUUUUGUCCGGGAAGAUAAUGACUGUACCGGAAGAAUAAGCCCCGGUUAACUUCGUGCCAGCCGCCGCCGUAA